rnacentral:rRNA from 1 species
UACAGAGGUCUCAAGCGUUGUUCGGAUUCAUUGGGCGUAAAGGGCUCGUAGGCGGUCUGUCGCGUCAGGAGUGAAAACUCGGGGCUUAACCCCGAGCCUGCUUCUGAUACGGGCAGACUAGAGGUAUGCAGGGGAGAACGGAAUUCCUGGUGUAGCGGUGAAAUGCGCAGAUAUCAGGAGGAACACCGGUGGCGAAGGCGGUUCUCUGGGCAUUACCUGACGCUGAGGAGCGAAAGUGUGGGGAGCGAACAGG